UACGGGGGGAGCAAGCGUUGUUCGGAUUUACUGGGCGUAAAGGGCGCGUAGGCGGAUCUUUAAGUCGGGGGUGAAAGCCCAGGGCUCAACCCUGGAAUUGCCUUCAAUACUGAAGAUCUCGAGACCGGAAGAAGUAAGUGGAACUGCGAGUGUAGAGGUGAAAUUCGUAGAUAUUCGCAAGAACACCAGUGGCGAAGGCGGCUUACUGGUCCGGUUCUGACGCUGAGGCGCGAAAGCGUGGG
rnacentral:rRNA from 1 species